rnacentral:rRNA from 1 species
GACUGCUAUCGGAUUGAUACUAAGCCAUGCGAGUCUUUGCAGUAAUGCAAGGCAUACGGCUCAGUAACACGUAGUCAACUUACCCUAUGGACGAGGAUAAUCUCGGGAAACUGAGCAUAAUACUCGAUAGAUCAUAAUGCCUGGAAUGGUUUAUGGUUGAAAUGAUUCGUCGCCAUAGGAUAGGACCGCGGCCUAUCAGCUUGUUGGUGAGGUAAUGGCCCACCAAGGCGAUUACAGGUACGGGCUCUGAGAGGAGAAGCCCGGAGAUGGGUACUGAGACAAGGACCCAGGCCCUAUGGGGCGCAGCAGGCGAGAAAACUUUGCAAUGUGCGAAAGCACGACAAGGUUAAUCCGAGUGAUUUCUGCUAAAGAAAUCUUUUGCAAGUCAUAAAACCACUAGUGAAUAAGGGGUGGGCAAGUUCUGGUGUCAGCCGCCGCGGUAAAACCAGCACCUCAAGUGGUCAGGAGGAUUAUUGGGCCUAAAGCAUCCGUAGCCGGCUCUGUAAGUUUUCGGUUAAAUCCAUGUGCUCAACGCAUGGGCUGUCGAAAAUACUGCAUAGCUAGGGAGUGGGAGAGGUAGACGGUACUCGGUAGGAAGGGGUAAAAUCCUUUGAUCUAUCGAUGACCACCUGUGGCGAAGGCGGUCUACCAGAACACGUUCGACGGUGAGGGAUGAAGGCUGGGGGAGCAAACCGGAUUAGAUACCCGGGUAGUCCCAGCUGUAAACGAUGCAGACUCGAUGAUGCAUUGGCAUAUAGCCAGUGCAGUGUCGCAGGGAAGCCGUUAAGUCUGCCGCCUGGGAAGUACGUACGCAAGUAUGAAACUUAAAGGAAUUGGCGGGGGAGCACCACAAGGGGUGAAGCCUGCGGUUCAAUUGGAUUCAACGCCGGG